rnacentral:rRNA from 1 species
UACGUAGGUGGCAAGCGUUGUCCGGAUUUACUGGGCGUAAAGGGCGUGCAGGCGGUUUGUUAAGUGCAGAGUGAAAGCUCCCGGCUCAACUGGGAGAGGUCUUUGCAUACUGGCAAACUCGAGGGAGGCAGAGGAAAGUGGAAUUCCCGGUGUAGUGGUGAUAUGCGUAGAUAUCGGGAGGAACACUUGUGGCGAAGGCGGCUUUCUGGGCCUUACCUGACGCUGAGACGCGAAAGCGUGGGGAGCGAACCGG